CCUCACACUGCCUGCUGAAUGACAUCACCAAACAGGACGCUAUGCGGUCUCCAUGGUAACCCGCUGACGGACAGGUACAGCAGGGUGUGAGGAGCCCCCAGCAUGCCCCGCGGCCCGACCACUCCAAGCCGGACCAUAACAACACAGCAACCCCGGCCGCAGGCCCUCCUCACCUGCACCUCGCCGCCGCCGCUCCCUCCUGCGCCCAGGCAGCAGCACUCACAGCAGAUGGAGCCGGGGGAGGGUCUGUCCGGGUUUCCUUAUCAUGACACAGGGCGGGGCCUCGCCAGCUCCGAGCUCCUAGGCUGCACACUGACACACUGCGCGAUAUCGCUGCGGGGCGUCACCGUGCGGCUGCUGUCUGCGAGAUACAUACUGUGAACAGGCUUCCUAAUGGGCGUGGCUAUGGGCGGGGCUGAGUGAGCGGUGAGCGCUCUCAUGGUCCAUUGAGGGGGCGUGGCUGAGUGAGCGG